CCCUUAGAUGUCCUGGGCCGCACGCGCGCUACACUGAUGCAUGUAACGAGUUUAUAACCUUGGCCUGAAAGGUCUGGGUAAUCUUUUGAACGUGCAUCGUGAUAGGGAUAGAUUAUUGCAAUUGUUAAUCUUGAACGAGGAAUUCCUAGUAAACGCGAGUCAUCAGCUCGCAUUGAUUACGUCCCUGCCCUUUGUACACACCGCCCGUCGCACCUACCGAUUGAAUGGUUCGGUGAAGAUCUCGGACUUCGAUAUUUAUUCUUUAUUGAGUUUAUAUUGUGGGAAGUUAUCUAAACCUCAUCAUUUAGAGGAAGGUGAAGUCGUAACA
rnacentral:rRNA from 1 species